AGAUUCCAAAAACUUAAGGAUUCCCAACAACGAAUGGUCACUGACGGACUCAACUCUCUGAAGUAUAGAGUAGAAAGUGUGAUUGAAAGACCUCUGUACACGAAAGUCACAGUCGAUAUUAACCCCUUGGGUCUGUAGAAUUUGAAGAACGUAUUUUAACAGUCGAUAUUCAGCAAAUAUUGGGCGGUGUGGUAUAGCAGAAUUUUUUAAAUAUACUAUUCACAUAUAUAUAGAUUGUCCUGAAAAAAUGCAAGUUCCAAAUGUUCCAAAUUAAACAGCCAACACCAAAGUAAGGGGUCAUUAGACCUGUUGUAAAAAUCUCACAACUUUUCAACAAGAUGUGCUCGUGUAGCAAGCCUGUCAACAAGUUGUAACAAUGUUGUUAUUUUAUCAAGUUGCUACAGGGUUGUCACUCGCAACUUGUUAUUAAGUUGUUGAAUUGCAGGACGAUAACAAGUUGUUGGAACAACUUGUAACAAGUCUGUUGAAUCGGCAUGCAACCUUGUAGCAAGUUGUCAACAAGCUGGGAACAAGCAGUGCGAACACAUCCUUUUGACAAGUUGUUGGAACAGCAUUGCUACAAGUCUGCUGCAGGUUUGUUACAACUUGUGUGUAGGGACGGUGUGUACUAGACCAAUUUUAUUAAUCUUAGUAUCACAAUCCAUCUCUUAGAUUAAAUUUUCCAUGCCAACCAAUAAGUAACUGUUUAAAAAUCUAGAACGGUAUUUCGGAUCACCCUGCAGUAUGGUCAGUUCAACUUGUAAAUAUCUACCUAUAAAAUGAUCAUGUUGGUUGGCUUUCUCAGAUGGCUAGCUUUGCUGAUUAAUUUAAACAUGUAACCAUAACUGAUCAAUCGCGAAGCGUGGUCAAGAGUUUAUAUAGUUGCGGUGCCAUGGGCGUAUAACAUAUUAUUUUAUUAUGAUUUUUUUUUUUCUGUGUUGGUGUAGUGUACUCAGGUGAAUAUGAUAUUUGUGGUGUUACUCUGAGUGCACAUCCACACCGGGCGAGCUUGAAAAAUGUGCCCGGCCACGGUGGGAUUCGAACCCACGACCUUUGGAAUACUAGCCCAAUGCUCUGCCAACUGAGCUACGUGGUCAGGACGGUUGGAGUAAGUGAUAUUUCGGAACAGAAUCUAGUUCCUUCGAUACCAAUGUAUUCUAGUAAUAUGAAUUUUUUUUCUGUGUUGGUGUAGUGUACUCAGGUGAAUAUGAUAUUUGUGGUGUUACUCUGAGUGCACAUCCACACCGGGCGAGCUUGAAAAAUAUGCCCGGCCACGGUGGGGUUCGAACCUACGACCUUUGGAAUACUAGCCCAAUGCUCUUCCAACUGAGCUAUGUGGUCAGGACGGUUCGAGUAAGUGAUAUUUCGGAACAGAAUCUAGUUCCUUCGAUACCAAUGUAUUCUAGUAAUAUGAAUAACCGUCCUGACCACGUAGCUCAGUUGGAAGAGCAUUGGGCUAGUAUUCCAAAGGUCGUAGGCUCGAAUCCCACCGUGGCCGGGCAUAUUUUUCAAGCUCGCCCGGUGUGGAUGUGCACUCAGAGUAACACCACAAAUAUCAUAUUAUUUUAUUCUUUAAAAACUAGCACCUUUUACAAAAUAGCUGUAGGGUACAUGUUAGAAAGUUAUUGAAUAAAUUGAAGAUAUCUCAAA